UGAGGAAUAUUGGACAAUGGGCGAAAGCCUGAUCCAGCCAUGCCGCGUGAGUGAAGAAGGCCUUCGGGUUGUAAAGCUCUUUCAGCCGGAAAGAAAUCGCGCAGGAUAAUACUCUGCGUGGAUGACGGUACCGGAAGAAGAAGCACCGGCUAACUACGUGCCAGCAGCCGCGGUAAUACGAAGGGUGCAAGCGUUACUCGGAAUUACUGGGCGUAAAGCGUGCGUAGGUGGUUAUAUAAGACAGAUGUGAAAUCCCCGGGCUCAACCUGGGACCUGCAUUUGUGACUGUAUAGCUAGAGUACGGUAGAGGGGGAUGGAAUUCCGCGUGUAGCAGUGAAAUGCGUAGAUAUGCGGAGGAACACCGAUGGCGAAGGCAAUCCCCUGGACCUGUACUGACGCUCAUGCACGAAAGCGUGGGGAGCAAACA
rnacentral:rRNA from 1 species